GUGCCAGCCGCCGCGGUAAAACGUAGGAGGCGAGCGUUAUCCGGAUUUACUGGGCGUAAAGCGCGUGCAGGCGGAGUGGAAAGUUGGAUGUGAAAGCUCCCGGCUUAACUGGGAGAGGUCGUUCAAAACUACCAAUCUAGAGGGCUAUAGAGGGAAGCGGAAUUCCGGGUGUAGUGGUGAAAUGCGUAGAUAUCCGGAGGAACACCAGUGGCGAAAGCGGCUUCCUGGGUAGCACCUGACGCUCAGACGCGAAAGCUAGGGUAGCAAACGGGAUUAGAGACCCCGGUAGUCCUAGCCGUAAACGAUGUAGACUUGGCGUAGGAGGGUUUAAAUCCUUCUGUGCCGCAGCAAACGCGAUAAGUCUACCGCCUGGGGACUACGGCCGCAAGGUUAAA
rnacentral:rRNA from 1 species